CAGCCGCCGCGGUAAUACCGGCGGCCCGAGUGGCGGUCACUAUUAUUGGGCUUAAAGCGUCCGUAGCCGGGUUGGGAAGUCCUCCGGGAAAUCUGGCCGCUUAACGGUCAGAAUGCCGGAGGAUACUCCCAGCCUAGGGGGCGGGGGAGGCCGAGGGGAUUCCCGGAGUAGGGGGGAAAUCCUAUAAUCCCGGGAGGACCACCUGUGGCGGAGGCGCUCGGCUGGAACGCGUCCGACGGUGAGGGACGAAGGCCAGGGGAGCAAACCGGAUUAGAUACCCGGGUAGUCCUGGCUGUAAACGAUGCGGACUUUGUGUCGGACAAGCUAUGAGCUUGUCCGGUGCCGGAGGGAAACCGUUAAGUCCGCCGCCUGGGGAGUACGGCCGCAAGGCUGAAACUUAAAGGAAUUGGCGGG
rnacentral:rRNA from 1 species